GGGCCCGCACAAGCGGUGGAGUAUGUGGUUUAAUUCGAUGAUACGCGAGGAACCUUACCAGGGCUUAAAUGCAGUUGGACAGGUCUGGAAACAGACCCUUCUUCGGACUAAUUGCAAGGUGCUGCAUGGUUGUCGUCAGCUCGUGCCGUGAGGUGUCAGGUUAAGUCCUAUAACGAGCGCAACCCCUGUGGUUAGUUGCCAGCGAGUCAUGUCGGGAACUCUAGCCAGACUGCCAGUGCAAACUGUGAGGAAGGUGGGGAUGACGUCAAAUCAUCACGGCCCUUACGUCCUGGGCCACACACGUGCUACAAUGGUAGGUACAGAGGGCAGCUACACAGCGAUGUGAUGCGAAUCUCAAAAAGCCUAUCGUAGUCCAGAUUGGAGUCUGCAACUCGACUCCAUGAAGUAGGAAUCGCUAGUAAUCG
rnacentral:rRNA from 1 species